rnacentral:rRNA from 1 species
AGAACGAACGCUGGCGGCAGGCUUAACACAUGCAAGUCGAACGCGUGUAGCAAUACACGAGUGGCGCACGGGUGAGUAACGCGUGGAUAUCUGCCUUUUGGUUCGGAAUAACCCCGGGAAACUGGGGCUAAAUACCGGAUGGUUCCUACGGGAUAAAGAUUUAUCGCCAAAAGAUGAGUCCGCGUACGAUUAGCUAGUUGGUGAGGUAAUGGCUCACCAAGGCGACGAUCGUUAGCUGGUCUGAGAGGACGAUCAGCCACACUGGGACUGAGACACGGCCCAGACUCCUACGGGAGGCAGCAGUGGGGAAUAUUGGACAAUGGGGGCAACCCUGAUCCAGCCAUGCCGCGUGAGUGAUGAAGGCCUUCGGGUUGUAAAGCUCUUUUGGCGGGACGAUGAUGACGGUACCCGCAGAAUAAGCCCCGGCUAACUUCGCGCCAGCAGCCGC